UUGGACUAGUUUGUCGGUUACAAACCGUAACCAUCCCAAACCAGCGGUGCGGGGCCGUGGGAAUCUUCGCCCUUCAGGGCGGAGAGGAUGUCAAGGGAUAGAGCUGA
rnacentral:misc_RNA from 1 species